UUUGAAAAAGUCUCGUCCUAUUAUGGCUAUAUUUUAAAUAGUGAUAUCAACUGGAAGACAGAAUCCAGGAACGCACAGAUCCAAUUGUAUGUAAAGAAGCACACAAUUCAAGCUACUGAAUACAAAUGACUGGAUUUAAAAUGAGCAGAUAUAAAAAAUUAGUCUAUGAUAAUGUGCUGGCUAGAAGAUACUAUCUUUAAACAUCACAGCCAAAAAUGUACUUACAUUAACUGCUCUCUUUUAGGUUCUCAAAAUGAACAUUAAAUUAAAGGACUACUAAAGUCACCCAUACCAAUGUAUCUCAGUGGUCCCAACUUUUUGACCCUGUUGUGUAAAACAUUGCUUUUUUGUAGACAGCCACUAGAGGUGCUUCCUCCUCCAGAACUAAG